CGCAAAGCAUCAUUGCGGACGUACUCUCAAUUUUGUCAAAGUUUUCGUGGGGAGUAUAAGUUCAAUACUUCAAUACUAUCUUUCUCCGUUGCAAAACAAUAAAAAAAAAUGGAAUUUGGGAAAAAGAAAAACAAUGUGGAGUUUUCUUGCACGAACAAAUAUUGGAGGGAUGCAAAGAAAUUGGUUUUGAAACAACUAGAAAGGGGGGGGGCGCAGUUUAUAGCUUAACUAAUUGUUGAUAAUCAAUGUCGUCGACGCUGUCAGGCUCGCUGUCGGAAUUUAUCUGUCGGUUAACACAUAGCACAUGUGCCAACUGAUUGCCAAAUCAGUCAUCUCUUUCUGUUGUGAAACAAUUUUAAAAGAAAUUAUGACAAAAAUUAGGAAAAAGAGACAAAAAGGGAAACAUUCAAGGCAAAAACAAACAGGGGGAGGGAAAGAAUUUUUAGGAAAAUUGGGACGAUUUGCCAUUUCAUGCGCCUUCCUCGCUGUUGUAUUUUUAAUCGAUGUCAGAUUCUUCGGAAUCUACAAAAAAAGUUGCUGGAUGUGGAAAGCCAAGAAUGUUGGAUUGGGCCUAGUUUGUACUCGUUGACUGCAAAUAUGCUCAUAACGCCAUAAGGGGGAAAAAGAACUUUAUUUUGGGAAACUUACCCGAGGCACUGCAGUACUUUUUAAAGUCAUCUUCCAAAUUAAACUUUUUAGUGUUGCGCUUUGCUUUCCUGGCCAGACGAGGUUUGCGGGAGAGACUUGGUCCUGCUGCUGGUUCUACUACUGGUUCCAUUUUAGCCACCUGCUCCUCUCCCUCAGCGCCUUUCUCAUGGUCUCCUUCAGCUUCAGCUUUUUCCUCAGGUACCCCUUUUGACUCAUCACUAACUGAUUCUUGUUCAGACUCUUCCUCUCCUUCAUCGUCUCCUUUUUAGUUAAAAAACAUAUAUAUACUGACUAC